UCCCGAGGAGUGAGCAAAGACACAUGUUACUUGUUUUCGUUCCCUCUGGCUAUAGCACGGAUCCCAGCAAAGCCUUGCCCAAGUUUCCCGUCUGGCCUCUAAUCAAUUUCUGUUGAUUAAAGAGUCCAAGGCCCCAGGGCUGGGCUCCAGAAGCCCCUAAUCCUGCUAGAGGGUGAGUGUUUGGAGGAGAACUCGUCCCGCCCAGCCUGGGGGCCAACCAGCCUGCAGAGGGGAGUCACGUGGUCGCCAUCUUCUUGGUGUGUUUCACCUGUUCCCCCAGGACGCGGCUCUCCCCCAGGGCAGAGCCCAGGGCCUGCAGAGCCAACAAGGCCUCAUUCCUGUUCUUCUUCAUGACAAUGGCAACUCCCACAGCGUCCUGGGUUUUACCCCACUCUUCUUGGGGCAGCUUCCACGCAUCCUGGAAGAGAGCUCGGCUGGCUGCCCCGCUGGUUUUGUAUUUUCAAGGGACCGCUGGGUGCCCUCACGCUUCUCUUUGGCUGAUUAGUGGAAAAAGUGGCCCCUGCCCUCCAGAGCCACAUCAUCCCAGUGGAAAUAGAAGCCCAGAGAGAGCCUUGGCGCUGUGACUUUGCAGCUCUGCACAUGGAGAGACAGAGUUACUUCUCCACCCUUUGAAUCUUGUCUGGCCUCUUCACCCACGUUGGCCAGUGGAGUGCUAUGGAAGUAACGGCACAUCCAUUCUGAGCCCAGGCCUCAACAGCUCCUGUUCAUCUACUUGUUCCUUGGGAAUCCUUCCUAGUCAGCAAGUGAAUAAGCCCAGGCUGGCCUGCUGGAGGAUGAGAGACUGCACGGAGCAGAGAUGAAGCAGUCCAUCUGAGGUCAUCCUGUACCAGCUGACUGCAGGUGCCUGAUGGAGCCCAGCCUACUAUGUCUGGCUCAGGUGGCAGAAUUGCCCUGCUGACCCAUGGACUCAUUGUUUUAAACCACUAAUUUUGGAGUGGCUGAUACACAGUGUUAGUUAACUACAUGUCUCAUUGGAGGAUGUUUUCAGAUGAGAUUAACCUUCCAAUUGGUGAACUGUUUUUUAAAUUGAUGACUACAAUGUUGUGUUAAUUACUGCUGUACAGAAAAGUGAUUCAAUUAUACACAUAUAUACGUUCUUUUUUAUUUCCAUUAUGGUUUAGUAUAGAAUAUUGAAU